GCCAGGCAUGGUGGUGCAAGUCUGUAGUCCUAGCUACUUAGAAGGCUGAGGUGGGAGGAUCGCUUGAGGCCAGGAGUUCAAGGCUGCAGUGAGCUAUGAUUGCACCACUGCGGUCCAGCCUGGGUGACAGAGCGAGACCCCAUUUCUU
rnacentral:SRP_RNA from 1 species